CCUGGUGGCUCAGAGGUUAAAGCAUCUGCCUCCAAUGCAGGAGACCUGUGUUCGAUUCUUGGGUCAGGA
rnacentral:tRNA from 1 species